rnacentral:rRNA from 1 species
UCAACGGCCGCGGUAUCCUAACCGUGCGAAGGUACCCUAAUCACUUGUUCUCUAAAUCAGGACUAGUAUGAACGGCACCACGAGGGUUACACUGUCUCCUUUUUCCAAUUAGUGAAAUUAAUUUUCCCGUGAAGAAGCGGGAAUAAACCUAUAAGACGAGAAGACCCUAUGGAGCUUUAAACAAUCUAGCAUUUGCCUAUAUCUUCAUGUUCCAGAACUCUCUAACUUGCACAAUGACUAGGAGUUUUAGGUUGGGGUGACCGCGUAGUAAAACUCAUCCUCCAUAGUGAAUAGAACUCUGAUUCUUAACUAAGAAACACCUAUCUAAGUAUUAAUACACUAACAUUUAUUGACCCAAUACAAUUGAUCAACGAACCAAGUUACCCUAGGGAUAACAGCGCAAUCCAUUUCAAGAGCCCCUAUCGCCAAAUGGGUUUACGACCUCGAUGUUGGAUCAGGACAUCCUAAAUGGUGCAAAA